CCAGAUAGCCUCUACCUGUCGUCAUGUCCAGAUAGCCUCUACCUGUCAGUCAUGUCCAGAUAGCCUCUACCUGUCAUGUCCAGAUAGCCUCUACCUGUCAUGUCCAGAUAGCCUCUACCUGUCAUGUCCAGAUAGCCUCUACCUGUCAUGUCCAGAUAGCCUCUACCUGUCAUGUCCAGAUAGCCUCUACCUGUCAUGUCCAGAUAGCCUCUACCUGUCAUGUCCAGAUAGCCUCUACCUGUCAUGUCCAGAUAGCCUCUACCUGUCAUGUCCAGAUAGCCUCUACCUGUCAUGUCCAGAUAGCCUCUACCUGUCAUGUCCAGAUAGCCUCUACCUGUCAUGUCCAGAUAGCCUCUACCUGUCAUGUCCAGAUAGCCUCUACCUGUCAUGUCCAGAUAGCCUCUACCUGUCAUGUCCAGAUAGCCUCUACCUGUCAUGUCCAGAUAGCCUCUACCUGUCAUGUCCAGAUAGCCUCUACCUGUCAUGUCCAGAUAGCCUCUACCUGUCAUGUCCAGAUAGCCUCUACCUGUCAUGUCCAGAUAGCCUCUACCUGUCAUGUCCAGAUAGCCUCUACCUGUCAUGUCCAGAUAGCCUCUACCUGUCAUGUCCAGAUAGCCUCUACCUGUCAUGUCCAGAUAGCCUCUACCUGUCGUCAUGUCCAGAUAGCCUCUACCUGUCAUGUCCAG
rnacentral:lncRNA from 1 species